rnacentral:rRNA from 1 species
AGUGGCGAACUGGUGAGUAACACGUGGGAAACCUGCCCAGAAGCGGGGGAUAACACCUGGUAAACAGAUGCUAAUACCGCAUAACAACUUGGACCGCAUGGUCCGAGCUUGAAAGAUGGCUUCGGCUAUCACUUUUGGAUGGUCCCGCGGCGUAUUAGCUAGAUGGUGGGGUAACGGCUCACCAUGGCAAUGAUACGUAGCCGACCUGAGAGGGUAAUCGGCCACAUUGGGACUGAGGCACGGCCCAAACUCCUACGGGAGGCAGCAGUAGGGAAUCUUCCACAAUGGACGAAAGUCUGAUGGAGCAACGCCGCGUGAGUGAAGAAGGGUUUCGGCUCGUAAAACUCUGUUGUUAAAGAAGAACAUAUCUGAGAGUAACUGUUCAGGUAUUGACGGUAUUUAACCAGAAAGCCACGGCUAACUACGUGCCAGCAGCCGCGGUAAUACGUAGGUGGCAAGCGUUGUCCGGAUUUAUUGGGCGUAAAGCGAGCGCAGGCGGUUUUUUAAGUCUGAUGUGAAAGCCUUCGGCUCAACCGAAGAAGUGCAUCGGAAACUGGGAAACUUGAGUGCAGAAGAGGACAGUGGAACUCCAUGUGUAGCGGUGAAAUGCGUAGAAUAUAUGGAAGAACACCAGUGGCGAAGGCGGCUGUCUGGUCUGUAACUGACGCUGAGGCUCGAAAGUAUGGGUAGCAAACAGGAU